rnacentral:rRNA from 1 species
GAUCCUGGCUCAGGAUGAACGCUGGCGGCGUGCUUAACACAUGCAAGUCGAACGAAGCACUUUACUUGAUCUUUUCGGAGUGAUUGUUUUGUGACUGAGUGGCGGACGGGUGAGUAACGCGUGGGUAACCUGCCUCACACAGGGGGAUAACAGUUGGAAACGGCUGCUAAUACCGCAUAAGCGCACAGUACCGCAUGGUAUGGUGUGAAAAACUCCGGUGGUGUGAGAUGGACCCGCGUCUGAUUAGCUAGUUGGCAGGGUAACGGCCUACCAAGGCGACGAUCAGUAGCCGACCUGAGAGGGUGACCGGCCACAUUGGGACUGAGACACGGCCCAAACUCCUACGGGAGGCAGCAGUGGGGAAUAUUGCACAAUGGGGGAAACCCUGAUGCAGCGACGCCGCGUGAGCGAAGAAGUAUUUCGGUAUGUAAAGCUCUAUCAGCAGGGAAGAAGAAAUGACGGUACCUGACUAAGAAGCACCGGCUAAAUACGUG